rnacentral:rRNA from 1 species
GUCUAUGAUCAUGCCACCCUGAACAUGCCCGAUCUCGUCUGAUCUCAAAAGCUAAGCAGAGUCAGGCCUGGUUAGUACUUGGAUGGGAGACCAUCUAGGAAUACCAGAGGCUGUAGGCU